UACAGAGGAUGCAAGCGUUAUCCGGAAUGAUUGGGCGUAAAGCGUCUGUAGGUGGCUUUUUAAGUCUGCCGUCAAAUCCCAGGGCUUAACCCUGGACAGGCGGUGGAAACUACCAAGCUGGAGUACGGUAGGGGCAGGUGGAACUUCCGGUGGAGCGGUGAAAGUGCGUAGAUAUCGGAAGGAACGCCGGUGGCGAAAGCGAACCUGCUGGACCUCUUCUGACGCUGAGGCGCGAAAGCCAGGGGA
rnacentral:rRNA from 1 species